CAGCAGCCGCGGGAAAACGUAGGUGGCAAGCGUUGUCCGGAAUUAUUGGGCGUAAAGCGCGCGCAGGCGGUUUCUUAAGUCUGAUGUGAAAGCCCCCGGCUUAACCGGGGAGGGUCAUUGAAACUGGGAGACUUAGAGUGCAGAAGAGGAGAGUGGAAUUCCAUGUGUAGCGGUGAAAUGCGUAGAUAUAUGGAGGAACACCAGUGGCGAAGGCGGCUUACUGGCUCGAAACUGACGCUGAGGCGCGAAAGCGUGGGGAGCAAACAGGAUUAGAUACCCCUGUAGUCCCUGUCUCUUAUAC
rnacentral:rRNA from 1 species